CAGCCCUAAAUGAGGGGGAAAUGCCGCCCAUUAAGGAAACGGAGGCAUGGUCCAAUUCCACUUUCCCAGGUUUACACCAUCAGGUUGGCCAAGAAAGUUGUGCUGGUCAACUUUCCCACGCUAUGAAGAACCAUCUGAGAAAACAACUUAAAGGAGGGAAGAUUUAUUUUGUCUCACAGCUUCAGAUGCUUCAUCCCAUAGUCACUUGGCUCCUGUGUCUAGAGUAUGCUAUGUGCAUCACAGCAGAAGGGCAUGGUAUUAAGAAAGCCGCUCGACUAUGGCAGACAGAAGAAGAAGAGACAGAGACAGAUAAGGAGAAUCUACAACACCUUUCAAAGACACGAGCCCAGUGACUUACUUCUCCCAGGAUGGGCCAGUCUGCCCCAUCAACCCCCAAACACCAUGAUCAUUCACCUCGUCCACCAAAGCAAGAGUGAUGAACUGAAGCCUGUGAAACCAUGACCCAGCAGAAACCUUCCCUCCAUUAGAAUUUCCCAGGCAUUCCACACAGAAAGAAGAAGCUGACACAAGAUGAAAAUGAGACCAUGUCUUUCUGUACCUGACUUACAUCUCUUAAUGUCCUCCGGGUUCAUCUACAUUAUAAUAAAUGUCGACAUUUCCCUCCU